rnacentral:lncRNA from 12 species
UACUUUUCCUGCUCCCCGUCUGAGAGCUCGCAGGAAGAGAAGCGCCUGACUGCGCAGCCCCUUGUCCCACUUCCCUGAAUUCCUCCUACACAGAGCCUGGCAACCCAGCUACUGGGUGACCUCUCCUUUGCACCUUACAACAACCUUGUGAGGACCCUCCCCGUUUUUCAGAUAUGGACAUUGAGUCUGGGAAAGCUCUCCUUCAAGGACACUCAUCAGAUAACUUGGAGAUUAUGACUCAGAGAUUAUGACGGAUGAUCUUGAGGAGUCGUGUCCAGCCUGGCCUCCCAGAUUUGAGCAAUCUUUCACUGUCAAGAGAGGCUGGGAGAUUGAUUCAAUUAAGAUUAGCAGAGUCGGAAAAAUGGCAUCUGGGUUAGUUUUGGUGGAGAAGGGCCUAGUCUGAGAGGAUCGGAGCCAGCCCAGGCCUCACCUCACCCAACCAUGUUCCAGCAGAGGCCCAGAGAGUGACGUGAUUUGCCCAAGCUGCCCAACAAGACAGAGUCUAGGCCCCACACCUGCAGAGGCCUAAUCCAGAAUUCCUGCACCGCCUCUGAUGCAGUGAUUGAGCGCAGAGGCAGAGGGAGCUGGCAACGCUGGAGAAGAGUCCCCUUGUGGCUGAGGAGCCUCACCUCAGUGGGGUGGCCAUCCUGACGGAGGCAAUGACACCAUCCACAGCACCCUUCUUGGCAUUUCUGUUUCUGGAUUGUUGAUUCUUAUAAAAUGGGAAUGAUCAUAGUAUCAAUUCCACGGUUUUGAUAUAAGAAUUCAGUGAGAUGCCACCAACGCCUGGCACAUAGGAGGGGCCUCAAUAAGUCAAACUCUUAAGACUGCCAUCAUCUUAAAGGAGGACGCUCCUUUUUUCCUGGUUCCCUUCUAAGACCUGCCACACUGGGAAGCUUCCCAAGGAAGCCCUUGUAGAGCUCUGAUCACGUUAACCUGCCUCCACGGGGUGGUGUGGGGCUUCUCCAAGUGAACACCUGCAGAGAGCCCAGUCAAGGCCCCGGUACAAGGGAGCGCCUUACAGAGAGUUUCUGGGUAUGCCUGUGUGCAUAUUGACUAUUUUAUAUUAGGUAGUUUCAGAUGGACAGCUUUAUAAUUUAAUGUGUGCCUACGUUACAGAGCGAUGGCCACCGUGUGUCCAGCUACCACCCAUCACCGUAUAAGUGACGCCCUUUUACCCACUGGUGCUUAACAGCAAUGACCUUUUAUAUACUUAGAAGUAACCUCUACCUCCUUAUAUAUAUAUAAAGACUUAUCCCCUCCGGGCUUCUUUUCACGAAGCGCUAUUUGGGUUGUCUCUCCAAGCGAAU